UACGUAGGUGGCAAGCGUUAUCCGGAUUUAUUGGGUUUAAAGGGUGCGUAGGUGGUUUAGUAAGUCAGAGGUGAAAGACGGCCGCUUAACGGUCGCACUGCCAUUGAUACUGCUAAGCUAGAGUGCAGAUGAGGUAGGCAGAAUGGAUGGUGUAGCGGUGAAAUGCAUAGAUAUCAUCCAGAAUACCGAUUGCGAAGGCAGCUUACUGGGCUGUAACUGACACUGAGGCACGAAAGUAUGGGGAUCAAACAGG
rnacentral:rRNA from 1 species